AUCCUUCUGGUUCUUACACAUGAUGAGUGGGUUGUCAGGCUUGUGUGUGAGAUGUGUCUUCCCAUAUUGUUACGACUUGACACAUUACCCUUCUGAUC
rfam:Xenopus laevis strain J chromosome 3L, whole genome shotgun sequence.